UCCGCCGUCCCUCGCCACGGUUCGUCGCCUGCGCGCUGGUGGAGAGGCCCCUCGGCGUAGGCGGCCCCCACAACCUGUGGCCAGUGGCCGCGAGCCCGCGAGGUUGGCGGUGGAAGAGGCGACCUCCCUGUGCUGGUUCAUCGUGUGCCACUGACACUGAGCCAUCGCUGCACUUUGCUGACUGCUGGGCUUGGCGGUGGGCCGUGGUGUCAAGUGCGGCGCUAGCUUCGUCCACUUGGGUGCUUUUCGCGUCAGGUAGUUGGCUCUCCAUGUCUCUUUGGUGAGAAUUCUAACAGGCAAACUUGAUCGGUUUAUACCUUGCUUGUCCACAAAUGCUCUGGUAUGAAACAUUAAGGUUUAAGUGAUUGCAUCAUGUCCACAAAUGCCUUAAUUUGUUUCAGCAACUGGCCGGACAGUACCAUAUCAAGUGUUGAUCUGCCAAGUCCCGAGCUCGUGCAGGCACAAUUGGCUUGAGCAUUUGCAGGACACCAAUCUCUCUGUACAGUUGUAAUGAUUCAGCGAACUUUAUUGUCAACGCAUCUAGUCCAAGAAUCCUACUAGCACUUUCACAGAAUAACCACUUUUUUUUGUCUAAGAAAACUAUUUCCCUUAUCGUAAUUACCAUUAGGCCAUUCUCUGUGCAUAUGUUGUAUCAGCAUGAUGCUAUGGUAUGCUGCAAAGUGAAAGUAGGAUUGAGAUGAGAGCAGUACUCAGAAUACAGGGUCUGGACAUGCACCCAGACCAUGGGCCUAGCACAUCCGGACACAGCCAUAUGGAGGGUUGGGACUUGGGAGAAGGGAGAUGGAUGAUAUUUUGCUUAAUGCCUCAAUCAUUGCAUGAAUUAGUAGCAUAGUAAGUCUGUGCAAGGCUGUGUUUCUUUUCAGGUAGGUUUACAUGUAUUUUCAGAACACAAUUCGCAUACAGCAUAAUAAAUUUGUGGAUCAGGAAGUCUUGGGCUUAAUUGUCCCAACUUUUUUCCUGAACGUUUUCAAUUUUGUAAGCUUGAUAGUCCUACUGGUUUACAUUUUUCUCUUGGUUAAAUAUCACACACUGAUCUUCCUCUAGAACUCAGCUUCCUUACCCAUUUGUGAUUUCACCAGGGAUUCAGUGUCAAGGGCUUGUGGCACACUGGCAUGGUUUGGCUCAGUAGAAUUGAGAAAUGCCAAUCAUGACUGGUUCCUGCGUUGCCACAUUCAGUAACCUUUUUUUAUGCAAAGUCCUGAGACUGCACGAAAGGAACAUGUUGCCUCAUUGAUAAUUGGUCUAUGGAUAACAGUUUCUCCCCCUAAUUCCUACUGCCUAUAUUCAGCUAUUUUACACCCAUCUAGGAACUCCAAACAGCGAGCUGAUGGCUAGCUAACUCGAACAGAUGGUGGCCACACAGCUUGCAUAGUGGCAUGAUGCUACCAUGAUACUCAGGAAUGCCUUCUCUAGCAAUACAGAGGAGCAUUCUUGAGUAUCAUGGUAGCAUCAUGCCACUAUGCAAGCAUUCCUCUUGUCGGCAGUGCACACCAAACGCCUCCUCGGAUAUCUGCAGGAGCUCAUGAAGGCAAACUCCUCCUCGGAUAUCUGCAGGAGCUCUGCGAAGGCUGGUGUGCCGAGAUAUGCCAGUGGAACCUCGAACCUCCUCUUGUCGGCAGUGUACAUGGAGGUGCAGCACUCAUCAGCUAUUCAGCUUCCACUGCCACCCUCAAGGAGAUCCACAACGCUGCCAUCCUCUGCCAGUUCUUGGCCAGCUGAGCGAUCUUCUUGGCCUUCAUCAUGGUUAUCUUCACAAUAUUGCAUUGGCUUCGUACAUGGGCUAUUCUCCAAACACCCACUACACAAGAGUUAGUUGCAACGGCAUCUCAACGCUUGACACAAAUAGCCAAGGAGUUUUUUUUUACCUAGGCACAUGGGUGGCGAUCUAGUCUACGGAUUGAUAGUUACUAGAGUGUUUGCUCACUCUCUUUUGUGUAAGGCUAAAUGCUCUUUAGGUAGAGGUCUUGAAUCUCUUUCAAGAAUUGUUGUAUCACCUUGAUGUAGCAUUACUUGAAAUUAAUAAAUUUCUCUUUUUGAAAAAA